rnacentral:rRNA from 1 species
CGUCAAAUCAUCAUGCCCCUUAUGGUCCGGGCUACACACGUGCUACAAUGGCGUUCACAAAGGGAGGCGAAGCCGCGAGGCGGAGCAAACCCCAAAAAGGACGUCCCAGUUCGGAUUGUAGUCUGCAACUCGACUGCAUGAAGCCGGAAUCGCUAGUAAUCGCAAAUCAGCACGUUGCGGUGAAUACGUUCCCGGGUCUU